AGUGAACGCUGGCGGUAGGCCUAACACAUGCAAGUCGAACGGCAGCACAGUAAGAGCUUGCUCUUACGGGUGGCGAGUGGCGGACGGGUGAGGAAUACAUCGGAAUCUACUUUUUCGUGGGGGAUAACGGAGGGAAACUUACGCUACUACCGCAUACGACCUACGGGUGAAAGCAGGGGAUCUUCGGACCUUGCGCGAUUGAAUGAGCCGAUGUCGGAUUAGCUAGUUGGCGGGGUAAAGGCCCACCAAGGCGACGAUCCGUAGCUGGUCUGAGAGGAUGAUCAGCCACACUGGAACUGAGACACGGUCCAGACUCCUACGGGAGGCAGCAGUGGGGAAUAUUGGACAAAGGGCGCAAGCCUGAUCCAGCCAUACCGCGUGGGUGAAGAAGGCCUUCGGGUUGUAAAGCCCUUUUGUUGGGAAAGAAAAGCAGCAGGUUAAUACCCCGCUGUUCUGACGGUACCCAAAGAAUAAGCACCGGCUAACUUCGUG
rnacentral:rRNA from 1 species